rnacentral:tRNA from 1 species
ACUUGUCUGGCUCAGUCAGUAGAGCUUGGGACUCCUGAUCUCCAGGUUGUCAGUUCAAGCCUCAUGUUAAGUG